rnacentral:rRNA from 1 species
AGCAGUCGCCGCGGUAAUACAGAGGGUGCGAGCGUUAAUCGGAUUUACUGGGCAUAAAGCGUGCGUAGGCGGCUUCUUAAGUCGGAUGUGAAAUCCCUGAGCUUAACUUAGGAAUUGCAUUCGAUACUGGGAAGCUAGAGUAUGGGAGAGGAUGGUAGAAUUCCAGGUGUAGCGGUGAAAUGCGUAGAGAUCUGGAGGAAUACCGAUGGCGAAGGCAGCCAUCUGGCCUAAUACUGACGCUGAGGUACGAAAGCAUGGGGAGCAAACAGGAUUAGAGACCCCUGUAGUCCCUGUCUCUUAUAC